UACAUAAGUACUAUAAAUUAUGUAAUUGGUGUAAGUGGAAGAUGAACUUUAUAAAUUAAAGUGAUAAACCAAUUUGCUACAUGUAAAAAGGGAAAAUAUGAUUAAAAUUAUGAUUAUUUUUCUUUUCAUAUUUUGUUUUGCAAUGAACACUGAGGCAUUUAAAUGUAAAAGUGAUGAUGAUUGUCAUUGCCCGCCACCUUCGAAACCAAAGUGUAAGUACACAAAAUGUGAAUGUUUAACGGUAUGGAUGGGUCCACGAGAUUAUGUUCCCACAUGAUUCUCUAUAUAUUUUGUCCAAAGGUUAUUUCAUUUUUUUUUUUUUUGAGAGACCCAAAGGUUAUUUCAUGAACAUCCAAUAAUUUGAAUUAUUUUUAUUUAUUUUUUUCAAUUUGAAGAACCUCGAUGUGUACUCAAAGAUGAUUGUAAGAAAAUGAAAUAAGACAGCAAAUAAUAAUAUUUAGAUUGUCUUUUAUCUCUUAA